AUCUCUUCUGGUUUUGAGCUAUGCACGAAGAGAAAAACGUCGCGAACGUACGAUCGUACGAACGUACAAACAUCUUUCUAAAAAUUUUUUAUUUCGACUCUAGGGACCUUGAAACGUCGAGAAAUGUCAAAAUGAUGAAUUUAACAAAUUGGACACAUUACAAUAACUUCCUAUGGGAAGUUAAAAUUAGAAAACACAGAAACCAAAUCAUCUAAACAUUCACUUGCCCCUACUUGCCCACACAAUAUUUUCAUAUAUCAAUACACAAGCAACUUCUUCUAUUCUCCUUUCCGGACACCUAACAAAUCUAACAUUCACAAAAAAAAAAAAAAAAAACAAAAAAAAGAUCCAACAUUAUCACCCCUUUCUUCUUUUACGCCCAAAACGGGCAUAAAAAAAGAUAAAUUUGUUUGCAACGGAUCAAACUUUGUUUUUUUAUUAAUUGGCAAACAAAAUGACAAAUGAGAAAAGUUUUUAGAAAGAAAAAAAAAAUAUGCAAGGCAAAAAGAGCUUUCUCAGCUUUAUUUUUAAAAGCUCUUGUCUGUUAAGGCUUGUCUGUUAAGAGAAAAAAAUGUUUCAUUUUUUCCUGCAGGGAUGAGACAUAUGCAUACAAUUAUUAUCUGUGCUCAAAGCUUAUUUGAGAAAAUCUCUUUUUUUUCUUGUACAAUAAUCCAUGAUAGUGUUUUUUUUUGUUAUAAUGUGCGCGAACUCAAGGAGAUAUGAAUACCCUUAUAAUAAUUAAACACAAUGCGAGCAAUUAGGAAAGUAAGAUAUGAUUAGAAAGGAGAUAUCGAUGCACAUUGGUUUUGAAUGUCUGUCCGUUGUAAUGAGUUUGAAAUAUUGAGUCUAGUAAAGCAUUCCACAUUCGUGUAGUGCGACUAAAGAAAGAAUGGGUGUAUUCAUAAACGUCAGCCCAACUAAGAACUGCGUUAUCUGCAUUCAUAAAGUCAGAUUAUCGAUCGAACUAACCUAGUCGAACUGCAGUACCUACAGUUCAUAAACGUCAGACUGUUGUCAGCGUCGGGCAGAUUGUGCAGCUGAAUUUGUUUGGCUGCAGAAAGAGCGGGAAUUAUUAAAAUAAUGUUUACAACAACAAGCAGGACGAAGCGGCACUGACUCGUAAAGAAUGUAUGUAAUGGCAAAUACCUAUUUGGUUUAUUUUUUGAUAAAAAUAAUUUAAAUUAUUGUUUUAAAGGGGAUGAUGAAAGUACUGUAGGUAAUGUGUGGACAACUAACCACAUUAAACUUUUAAUUACAAAGCGAAUAAGCAUGGAAAUGGAAUUCAAUGCUGGAAAGAAGAAAAAAAUUACAUUGUGGAGGACGCCAUUUUUCUCUGACGUUUAUGAACUCUGUUUACACACAAAUAGAGAGUAUAUCUAAUAAUUAUUAGAUAUACUCUGCACAAAUCGGACUAAGUCAAAAAAAUUUGUUUACUGCAGACAUCAUAGAGGAAAUCUAUUAUCUAGAGUCCCGACCGGUACCCGUCCUACCUGAAACACCCUCAAAUUUUAUUCGAGGUGGACUCUUUCAAAUUCGCUAUCGGUGAAUACAUGUGAGUGGGAAAAAAAGCAAAAUAGGGGAUUGGGCUAAAAAGAAACUUAUGGAAUUUUUGUGAUCUGUCAAAAAUGACAAUCAAUUUUGCAAAACAAAACAAUGGGUUUCGGAUGUUUAAAGUAAGUUUUUGUUAAUUAUUUUGAUAUUUAAUAUAAUUUGUUAUUUUUCAGACUAAAAACCUUUAUAGUGAAAAGGGUAUAUAUAAGUUCACUUCAUCGAAUAAAAAUCUGUGUUUUCAUUUUAGAUACUGCCAAUAACAUACCAUAAUGCAGGAAGCAAUUUCCCUGAAGAAAUCAGGAAGACAAUGCAAACAAGGCGCAGAUUUUUGCAGGCAAGUUUUUAACGACAGAUACUGCCCAUUGUGAUUGUAUGUACAUUUCAACGGCAUAGCUAACAGUGCCAACUCAACCUAUUCAUCAGCUGCCAAGAAAUAUAAUGCAAGCCGCUCAAAUUAUUGACGCAACAGGGCGCGGAGAUCAGUUUUAUAUAAAUCCAAGCUUGUAGCAACAAAUGUCUCAAUAUCUUGUUGCCAUUGAAGGACGACAAGGAUACGAAGCUGGCUGAUACAGAUGACGUAGCUGAACAGAAUUUCGAUUUUGAAGCAACCUGCUGAAAUAAUAAAGCACUUUCUAAAUCACGGCAGUCGGAAAUCAUUGAAUUCCCUGCAGUUCUGGUAAACUUAAGGACUGGCAAUAUAGAAGAAUUCCCUGAAUUCGUUAUGCAUAUUGCAAAUGACUUAAUAAGCCACUUAGUUGUUUUGAAUUUUUGGCAAAUAACAAAAAUUUGAACUUGAUGUUUUAACCUAAGACUGCAAAUUCUUAAUAAAAAGUACGAAACAAAUUUAAACGGAAUACUGAAGAAAGAUAUUGUAGGUUUGGAAAAACAUGACACAUUUUUUUUGUUGAAAAAGGCUAUUUCAUGAAUUUAGAUAUCCUCGCAAAAGCCUUAAUGUAUUAUAAGGUUGGGUGCCGAAUAGAAUUUAAAAACAUAUUUUUAUCAAUUUCACUUUAUUUUAAAAACAAAUAAUCAUGAUUAACAAAUCAAAAAGUCUACAUGUUUAAUGGUUUAAAUAAUUCCUUAUCACAUAAAAA